CCCACACCAUCACGAUAGAGAGGAAAAAGGUGUAGAAAUAAAGGGCGAAAAUCAUGAAAUUCAAAUUAGCAGCAAUGGUUUUAGUUGGAGCACUAAUACUACUAAUUGUGGCGGCAGCAGCAGGCAGAGACAGAGAGUCUACCAAAACCAUGAUGACAGCUAAGGGAACCCAGAAGGAAUUAGAAACCGUUUUCAAACAUCAUUUCAUUCAUUCUCAAAAGACACAAGAUCAGUACAGACUACUACUAUUAGAGUACAGUACCCAAGAUCAUCCAUGGUCCCGUGGUCACACUUUUCCGCUCCCUCCUUAUAAACCAAAGCCUAAACCCCCAAUUAUCCUACCCCCACACCCACCACCACCACCACCCAAGGCACGCAGUGAUAGAAUAGUUUGACCCUGCUGUUCUUACAACUAGAAUCAAAUUCUAGUGGUAAUAAAACUCAAUCCAAUGACCUAUUCUUAUGGCUUUUCAGCCUUCCAAAUUAUUGAUUUACUUAUGCUAACAGACAUGGAUUCUGGGUCUCUGUUUUUCUUGUGAAAUUCUGUCAUAUUUUCAUGUUGGUUUUGAGAUGAUAUCAUGGUUUAAUUUGCCAUAUUUUGUUGGAUCUGAGGCUUGAAUUGGAAUCUCCAAAUCCUUAUUUUAUUUUUUUUACAAU